AGUCGAGCGGAUGAAGGAGCUUGCUCCUGGAUUCAGCGGCGGACGGGUGAGUAAUGCCUAGGAAUCUGCCUGGUAGUGGGGGACAACGUUUCGAAAGGAACGCUAAUACCGCAUACGUCCUACGGGAGAAAGCAGGGGACCUUCGGGCCUUGCGCUAUCAGAUGAGCCUAGGUCGGAUUAGCUAGUUGGUGAGGUAAUGGCUCACCAAGGCGACGAUCCGUAACUGGUCUGAGAGGAUGAUCAGUCACACUGGAACUGAGACACGGUCCAGACUCCUACGGGAGGCAGCAGUGGGGAAUAUUGGACAAUGGGCGAAAGCCUGAUCCAGCCCUGCCGCGUGUGUGAAGAAGGUCUUCGGAUUGUAAAGACUUUAAGUUGGGAGGAAGGGGCGUAAAUUAAUACCUUGCUGUUUUGACGUUACCGACAGAAUAAGCACCGGCUAACUCUGUG
rnacentral:rRNA from 1 species